GCCAGGCAUGGUGGCGCAUGCCUGUAAUCCCAGCUACUCCGGAGGCUGAGGCAGGAGAAUCGCUUGAACCCAGGAGGUGGAGUCUGCAGUGAGCCGAGAUCAUGCCACUGCACUCCAGGCUGGGUGACAGAGCGAGACUCUGUCUCAA
ensembl:misc_RNA Metazoa_SRP Metazoan signal recognition particle RNA